CAUCAACCUAGGUUCAACGGAUGUUCCGUGCAGUCCUGAAGGUCUGAUGGCCAAGGAGCACUCGCUAAUUCUGACUUCGUCUCAGCUUGCUCUCUUGCGGCCAUUCAGUGAAUGUCAUCAGAAACGACUUAUGAUGCCGCCUCGCCGGAUGUGGUUAAUCUGUCAGUCUGAGGGGCUGAGACCCUCACAGGGAAAUUGCCUGCCUUGCUUAACCUUCUGACCCGGUGGUGGGAAACGCGAGGUGCCACAGCUGUUUCGCCCGUGUUUUUCCCUUCGUGGGGAAGUGAGCCUUUCUGGAUUUAGGGUUUACAGUGUGAUCGCUCUUUCAAGGAAGCUGCUAAUUUGAUUUCCUCUUAUCUGCAUCUGAGGACAGCACAGCUGUUUCUCUCAUGGAGAGUGCUAGGAGCAGUAAGGGCACUGCACACAAGAUGACGUUUGGAAAACUGUAUUGCAAUGGCAGCAACGGUUCCUUUGCAUGAGCACCGCCCUGUCCUCAGCCCUGGCUCUGAAUUUGGGGAUCUGCGGCAAAUGUGGGCUCUGCCAUUCGUGACCCAGUGACCCCAGAUGAGGUCUCACUAUGUUAAUCGGGCUGGACUCAAACUCCUGGGCUCAAGUGAUCUUCCUGCCUCAGCCUCCACAGUAGUGGGGAAGACAGG
rnacentral:lncRNA from 1 species